UACGUAGGGUGCAAGCGUUGUCCGGAUUUAUUGGGCGUAAAGAGCUCGUAGGCGGCUUGGCAAGUCGGGUGUGAAAGCUUCAGGCUCAACCUGGAGAUGCCACCCGAUACUGCUAUGGCUUGAGUCCGGUAGGGGACCACGGAAUUCCGGGUGUAGCGGUGGAAUGCGUAGAGAUCCGGAAGAACACCGGUGGCGAAGGCGGCCUGCUGGGCAGUUGCUGACACUGAGGCGCGACAGCGUGGGGAGCAAACAGG
rnacentral:rRNA from 1 species